rnacentral:lncRNA from 10 species
GUUUUGUUUGUUUUUGUUCAUUUUUCAGACACGGUGAGUCAGAAACGUAAGGCUCAGAGAUAUUUUUAGUUUUUCCAGCCACUAAGAAUUCUUGUUGCCUGCAGGGAAAUAAAGAAAUGCAGAGAAGGGGGAGUGCUAGACUUGCCUGCUUGCUAUCCAAAACCACUUCUUUCCUUUGAAAAAGGGUCUGUGCAGCCAAAACAAGCAGCGCUAACGCUGGGCUGAGAGUAGGCACCAGCCAUCCAGGAAAGAGACAAGGCAACCAUCAGCUACAAAAGCUGCUUCAACAGCAGACAGCUCAAAGAAUCAAAAAAUGCAUCCCAGGAGGGCUGGGUGAGGAAAGACAGUGAUCUUGCCUUGGUAUUUGCAGCAAAGUCACAGACCAGGAAGGUCAAAUCCUCGCUGAGAACCAUGUGGACAAAUGUCCAGGACAUGGUCGCUGGCCUCAGGGAGCCCACAAUUUUAUUGAAGAAGCAAGAUUGUCAGAAGUAAGGACCAAAACUCGUGUAUACAGAGAAAGGAGAAAGAUUGAGAGGAAAGAAGAGGAGAAUCAAGGAGGCAGAGAUUAAAAGAAGGAAGGGAUAGAAAAGAAAAGAAAAAGAAAGAGGGAAGGAGAGAAGGGGAAAAGUACGGACUCCGUUUCGUGACUACAUCACAAGCAUUGAUGAAAAGAAGAGAAAUCUGUGAAAACGAGAAAGCAGGCACUGUAUGUUGCAUCCUGACACACAGUGUAAACACUGAGGCCCAUAGAGGUCAUCACCUGCCCAACUGGACAGCUGUGAAGCCACAGCUCACACCACUUGCUGCAUCCUCCUGCAAUUUCAGCACACUUUCUCUUGUGCUGCUCUCCCUGGAAAGACAGUGCUUUUCCCCAACACCAAUUCCACCGGCAUCGCCCUAGAAAAAUACUCACAAAGAACACGGGGAGCUAUGUCUAAGGAUCUUCAAUGAAGUAUUGUUAUAAUGGACAUUUAGUUACAACUUAAAUGUUCACCAACUGGGUGAACAUUUCCACUGACUGGGGAAUGACCAGAAACAGAAAACAGAGAACUAUGCUGUAUAACCAUCACAUGAAAUUCUGGGCAGCGGUAGAAAGGAAUGAAUGAAUCUGCUCAUGCUUACAUGAAAAGAGACAUAUUGUGAAGUGAAGGAAGUUUCAGAAUGAAGUUUACAAGUAUGAUUCCACAUGUUACAGAACAACAAGAGAUGUGGGUGUUUUGUAUGCAGACAUAUACAUGUAUGUAAACGUAUAGGAAAAGGUCUGAAAUUACGCAAGCCAAACUGAUAACAAAAUUACCCAUUGAGAAGGGGAAAGUGGUAGAAAAGAGAGAAUGCUGAUCAAGGGGAUUCUAGCCUUAUCUGAGCUGUUUGAAUUGUUUCACAAGAAUAAUGUAUUCAUGUGUUACUUGUGUGCUUAUAAUAAAUCUAAAAUAAG